GCCUCCUUAGCUCAGCGGUAGAGCACUCGCCUUGUAAGCGAAAGGUCGUCAGUUCAAUCCUGACAGGAGGCU
rnacentral:tRNA from 1 species